rnacentral:rRNA from 1 species
AUUGAACGCUGGCGGCAGGCUUAACACAUGCAAGUCGAGCGAGCGGCGGACGGGUGAGUAAUGUCUGGGAAACUGCCCGAUGGAGGGGGAUAUCUACUGGAAACGGUAUCUCAUAUCCCACAUCAUCUGAUGUGUCCAGAUGGGAUCAGCUAGUAGGUGGGGUAACGGCUCACCUAGGCGACGAUCCCUAGCUGGUCUGAGAGGAUGACCAGCCACACUGGAACUGAGACACGGUCCAGACUCCUACGGGAGGCAGCAGUGGGGAAUAUUGCACAAUGGGCGCAAGCCUGAUGCAGCCAUGCCGCGUGUGUGAAGAAGGCCUUCGGGUUGUAAAGCACUUUCAGCGGGGAGGCGUUACCCGCAGAAGAAGCACCGGCUAACUCCGUGCCAGCAGCCGCGGUAAUUC